UACAGAGGGUGCGAGCGUUAAUCGGAAUUACUGGGCGUAAAGCGUGCGUAGACGGUUAUUUAAGUCGGGUGUGAAAGCCCCGGGCUCAACCUGGGAAUUGCAUUCGAGACUGCAUUGCUGGAGUACGGAAGAGGAGGGCGGAAUUCCCGGUGUAGCGGUGAAAUGCGUAGAUAUCGGGAGGAACAUCAGUGGCGAAGGCGGCCCUCUGGUCCAGUACUGACACUCAAGUGCGAAAGCGUGGGGAGCAAACAGG
rnacentral:rRNA from 1 species